UGCAUUCCGACUUGUACAGUUGUACUACUGUCUACUGUUGCUUUGACUUCUUCCUGUGACUUUAGAAUAUAUUUAAAAAAAUGAUUUUAUCUAUUAUUAUUAAAUUUAUUUCUUUAAACAAAUUAUUUCUACGGACUUUUAUGUAUGGCAACUUCAUUACUAAAUAUAUUAUUUUUAAAAUAUAUAUAUAAAUAAAUAAUUAAAUUAAAAACAAUAAUUAUAAAUAUAUAUAUAUAAAUAAAUAACUUAUUUAUAUGAAUAAGAAAUAUUAUAUAUAUAAUAUUAUAUUUCUUAUUGAAUAUAUAUAAUAUUGUAUAAAUAUAAAAAAUUUCAUUCGAUUAAAUGUUUUCAUAUAAAAGCUGGCCAACGUGUAUGGUGCUGCUUUUUAAUUACAAGUGGAAGACCCUUUUGACCAGCUGUUUUGUCCUCCAUCAAUGCUACAGCCGGGCAUAACUCUGUGCAUACGUUUCAACGAGACGACCCGACAGACGAGCUCUGCGAUGCGGACGAGGCGAGUUCCAUGACGUUGCGAGUUCCGAGCGUGCUGAGCGUCCCGAGACGAUUCCGAGCCCGAGUUCUCAUAACUAAUCUUGUGAACGCUUUGCUUAGUCUGACGAGCCGAGACGAGUUGAACUCGUAUCAUUACAGUACCGUUUUUAGCGAGUUUUUAGGCGAGACGAGACGAAUGAGCCGAGCUGAUUCGUUCGUCUAGCCACUCUAGUUAGUAGUAUGUACUGUUUUAGUUAGCCGAACAUGCAAAAAUCUAGACUAAGGUUCAUUUUCUAACGGAACGGAUUUUCAUGUUUAAGAUCAGGUUCUUUCGGUAAACGAACAUAACCGAGCCCACUUGUAAGAGUCGAGUUUUGUUCAAGAAUGACCCUGUUCAUUUGAAGCCUCCUUUGUGGUGUUGUCAGUUGUGUUUAUGUGUAAAUGAAUUUAUAUGAUACAAGUAUGCAAGGCUCAAGUGCUGCAAAUUUGUGGUAUUGUUCUCAUGUGUUUUUUUUUUUUUUUAAUAACUUUUAGUGGCUGAAAAGAAGUCUAACAUUUGAAAUAGCUUAAUUGAGAUCGAAGAUGAGCCAAAGGCAACAAUUGGAAGAAAACAGACACAACGAUGAUGUCGCACUUUCCAAUUUCUUGGCAUCCUUAAUGGACUACACCCCCACUAUACCUGAUGAAUUGGCUGAGCAUUAUCUGGCCAAAAGUGGGUUUCAGUGUCCAGAUGUACGACUUGUUAGGUUGGUAGCCGUAGCUACACAGAAGUUCAUUGCAGAUGUCGCCACUGAUGCUCUUCAGCAUUGUAAAGCAAGACAAGCUGCAGUGGUCAAAGAUAAAAGAGACAAGCUUCAAAAGGAUAAACGCCUGACUUUAGCGAUGGAGGACCUUUCAAAAGCACUGCAAGAGUAUGGUGUGAAUGUCAAACAUCAGGAGUACUUUGCUGAUAGCCCCUCCGCAGGGUUAGAUGCUGCCUCAAGGGACGAAUGAGAUACUACAAGGUGAGUGUCUUGUUCUAAUAAGAACGAUCCGACUUAGAUCCCAUACCCAGACCCAUGUUAUGUCCGGGUAUAAGGACAGGACAAUACUACUGAAUUCUAGUUCAUCCAUGUUAUAGCAACACUGUAAUAGAUAUUUCAGUCAUCAUGGGUGGUGUAACAAGGAGCCUUAGGCCUCUUACCUUGUUUGGUGCAUUGCUUCUGUAAAUCUGAAAUGCACAUUGUUAAGUUUCUUAUAUACAAGUCAGGUAAAAACAUAUGCAGCCUUGCAAACUGAUAGUUUAGAUUUUAGAUACAAAUUAGUAAUUCUAUUGUUGUACCCGCACUUACUUAUGAAUCUGUGCGCCAUAACCAGUUUUGCUCAUUUAAGUUUAUGUAUAAACUACAAUAUAUGCUCAGAAGCCAUUGAAGACUGUAAAAUCUUUGAAAUAGUCUCAUGAUUAUUCUAACAUUGUAAUCUGUUUGCAACAUUUCUUGUUUGUACUUAAAAUCAUUUGCCACUUCAACUAUAUAUGUUUGAUUUGACGUGUUAUAUUGGUCCAAUGUAAUUUUGUGCUGUUGUCCAGUCUACUGGUUCUAGCUCAUGAAUUCCAAGUACUUGUCCUGUAAAAAAGAGCUGAAGAAUUCUCACGUGCAUCAGAGAUUUUAGUAAAAGAUUUUCCCUGUUAGACUGCUGAAAGCUCUGCACCACUUACAGUGUCGAAAUCUUACAGAGGCAUUAAGAUACAGAGGGUUGCAGCAAGCGCAAUCUACAAGCAAAAGGAAUGCUGCAGCAGAAGUUUGGAGAGAUGUUGCAAGUUGCAGCAUACACGGCUUCACGUAUAUCCUGAACCACCUUACACAGCGGUCAAUCNUAAUAACUUUUAGUGGCUGAAAAGAAGUCUAACAUUUGAAAUAGCUUAAUUGAGAUCGAAGAUGAGCCAAAGGCAACAAUUGGAAGAAAACAGACACAACGAUGAUGUCGCACUUUCCAAUUUCUUGGCAUCCUUAAUGGACUACACCCCCACUAUACCUGAUGAAUUGGCUGAGCAUUAUCUGGCCAAAAGUGGGUUUCAGUGUCCAGAUGUACGACUUGUUAGGUUGGUAGCCGUAGCUACACAGAAGUUCAUUGCAGAUGUCGCCACUGAUGCUCUUCAGCAUUGUAAAGCAAGACAAGCUGC
rnacentral:lncRNA from 1 species